AGUGGCGGACGGGUGAGUAACGCGUGGAUAACCUGCCUCAUACAGGGGGAUAACAGUUGGAAACGGCUGUUAAUACCGCAUAAGCGCACGAAACCGCAUGGUUUUGUGUGAAAAACUCCGGUGGUAUGAGAUGGGUCCGCGUCUGAUUAGCUAGUUGGCAGGGUAACGGCCUACCAAGGCGACGAUCAGUAGCCGACCUGAGAGGGUGUACGGCCACAUUGGGACUGAGACACGGCCCAAACUCCUACGGAAGGCAGCAG
rnacentral:rRNA from 1 species